UAAAGUGGUCUCAGGAAUAAAAAUUGUGAGGAGUUAAAGAAGCAGGAUUGGGCAAGAGAAGUUGAACUAUGGGGAAAUUGCAAGGAAGUCUUCAGCAGAUCCCACAGAAGCUCGGGAGCUUAGAUAGUCCUUCAGCAUUGUCCCAAAUUCAGAACACACAAAGUGAAGGAGUUGGAUCACAGUGACUGCAGGAGCUACAAAUGCAGACCAACACUAGUGUGUUCUUCACAAUCUGUCACCUCAAGAAGUAUAGCAAGUUGUGCUGUGGCUUUCUAAAAUGGUGCCUAUUGCUUCAUAAAAACCUAAAUAGAACAAAUAUAAUAAAUUUUCUAUUUACAAGACAGUUGCACCUCAAGAAACUUUUCGGCGCAUACUAAAACCUUCUUCAAAAUACAGUGUUUCUAUGCAGAAUGGAUUCGAGGUGUGGAAUUACAUAAUGAUCCAUAGAUUAUCAGCUGUUUCAGCAUCUGGCAGGACGUUUGAAAACCGUCUGGAAUGAAGGACCAUUCUUCAUGGGACAGUAUUCUGUUAUGCUUUGCAGGACAUCUAGCAUUCCUAGACACCACUCACUACGUGCCAGUGACAUUGUGACACCAAAAAUGCUCCCACAAAUUUCCAAAGUACCCCUUAGGGAGGAGUAAGACUCAUUGAUAAGAACGACUCUGUCUUCUCAUCAUGGCCUUCACUGUCAGAUUCAUGUUUUGUUUUGUUUAUGUUGGAAAGGCCAAGAUAAUGAGAAGACAAGCCAUAGACUGAGAAAGAUAUUUGCAAGAGAUAAAGGAUUGUUAUCCAAAACAGACAAAGAACUUUUAAAAACUCAACUGUAAUACAAGGUUUUUCUUCGCUGUUUCUUUCCCAGCUUCUCUCUGGUCAACCAUCUGGCGAACGUUUUAGCUUGUAUCUCUGAUGAAGCUAUUAGAGCCUUCUCUGAAUUUUUUACCACCAAAACUCCAUUGUUUUGAGAAUGCCCUUAGACUUAAACUUCCCCACACUCUCUCUCUAUUAAAGUUAGUUGCUCUGGGGAGAGCUUUAGCAUUCUCUGUUUAAAGUCCUGUCUGUCUGUUUAAAGUCCCUAGCCAAAAUACCUGAGCCAGAGCCCUGAGGCUGGGGGCAGGGACAGUGGCCCGCUUCUUUUGGAGUGACACUGCACUUCAGGAGCAGGGCACUGCAGGUGGGCAGUAGCCUCUGGUCUUCUCAGCUUGUCUCUCCCAAGAUGGAGUCUCCAUCCUACAAAUGAGCUGGGUGGAGGAAAAUCAUGACACUGGUAUUCCCAGCAUGCCAUCCCUAAGGUCAAGCAUCUGCCCUAUGGAUGGGGGCUAGGUGGGCUACCCUCACCUGGAAUUUAGCCUCUGCAACAUGUAGCUGACAAGAUGAGAUAUUCUCAUGGCCGGUUCCUCCCAGGGAGAUAACACAGUCCUCAACUGAAAGCUGGGAAAGAGGGAGCGGAGUUUCUGUCCCACUGGGCUGGGAGCAGGGAGAGGGGGAGUGGAUUAUAAUUCAAAUGCCACUGACUCUUGCUCUUCUUAUUGAAUUACAGUAGAUUUUCUCGAAUAAAUGUUUCUUCAUUUGC